GACGAACGCUGGCGGCGUGCCUAAUACAUGCAAGUUGAGCGCUGAAGGUUGGUACUUGUACCAACUGGAUGAGCAGCGAACGGGUGAGUAACGCGUGGGGAAUCUGCCUUUGAGCGGGGGACAACAUUUGGAAACGAAUGCUAAUACCGCAUAAAAACUUUAAACACAAGUUUUAAGUUUGAAAGAUGCAAUUGCAUCACUCAAAGAUGAUCCCGCGUUGUAUUAGCUAGUUGGUGAGGUAAAGGCUCACCAAGGCGAUGAUACAUAGCCGACCUGAGAGGGUGAUCGGCCACAUUGGGACUGAGACACGGCCCAAACUCCAACGGGAGGCAGCAGUAGGGAAUCUUCGGCAAUGGACGAAAGUCUGACCGAGCAACGCCGCGUGAGUGAAGAAGGGUUUCGGAUCGUAAAACUCUGUUGGUAGAGAAGAACGUUGGUGAGAGUGGAAAGCUCAUCAAGUGACGGUAACUACCCAGAAAGGGACGGCUAACUACGUG
rnacentral:rRNA from 1 species